UAGUCAUAUGCUUGUCUCAAAGAUUAAGCCAUGCAUGUCCAAGUAUAAGCAAGUUAUACAGCGAAACUGCGAAAGGCUCAUUAUAUCAGUUACAACUUACGUGAUAGUGACUUGCUACAUGGAUAACCGUGGUAAUUCUAGAGCUAAUACAUGCACUGAGGCUCCUUCGGGGGCUGUAUUUAUUAGAUUUAAGCCAACCCGGGCGACCGGCAGGUGGUGAUUCAUGGUAACUGGGCGAAUCGCUGCGGCGAUGCAUCAUUCAGAUUUCUGCCCUAUC
rnacentral:rRNA from 1 species